UACAGAGGGGGCAAGCGUUGUUCGGAAUUACUGGGCGUAAAGGGCGCGUAGGCGGCCUUCUAAGUCGAACGUGAAAUCCCUGGGCUCAACCCAGGAACUGCGUCCGAUACUGGAAGGCUUGAAUCCGGGAGAGGGAUGCGGAAUUCCUGGUGUAGCGGUGAAAUGCGUAGAUAUCAGGAGGAACACCGGUGGCGAAGGCGGCUCUCUGGACGGUGACUGACGCUGAGACGCGAAAGCGUGGGGAGCAAACAGG
rnacentral:rRNA from 1 species